rnacentral:rRNA from 1 species
UUCGCAAUGCCCGAAAGGGUGAACGAGCGACGCCGCGUGCGGGAUGAAGGCCUUCGGGUUGUAAACCGCUUUUGUAAGGGAAAAACUUAAUGAUGGUACCUUGCGAAUAAGAGGUUACUAACUCUGUGCCAGCAGUAGCGGUAAUACAGAGACCUCAAGCGUUAUCCGGAUUUAUUGGGCAUAAAGAGCACGUAGGCGGUUGAGCAAGUCCAUUGUGAAAUCCCCCGGCUUAACCGGGGAACUGCAGUGGAUACUACUUGACUUGAGUGCAGGAGGGGAGAGUGGAAUUCCAGGUGGAGCGGUGAAAUGCGUAGAUAUCUGGAGGAACGCCGGUGGCGAAAGCGACUCUCUGGUCUGUAACUGACGCUGAGGUGCGAAAGCUAGGGGAGCAAACGGGAUUAGAUACCCCGGUAGUCCUAGCCCUAAACGAUGGGCACUAAGUAGAGGGGUUUU